UCCAACUUCCUUGUUCCAUUCCUUAUUUAAUUCACUAUUCUAGCAGAAAAUGAAGAGGAUUUUGGACAGAUUUCUGUGGUAGUUAUAUUCGGCAGUUGCAAUAGAAAGAGAACUAGUUUUUUUUUUAAUGGAAUGAUAAAAUAAGGAUUGAAACUAUUCAUGCUCUACUACAAAGUCCUCUUCUCGUCAUCAAACCCAAUAACUAGUGGCUUUCUAAUUAUGAUGAUAUAUCAAAU
rnacentral:lncRNA from 1 species